AGGGAUGAUGGGAAGCCUGGACUUGUUUAUCGUGUUUGUUCGGAACUUCACCCGCGGUACAGUACGGCCUGAGCAUUUUGUUCCAGCACCGGUGUGAGGAAAACAUCUGAGCCCAUGAAUUGCCAGAUCCUGGAUACCAGAGACACAUCGUCUUGCUUCUCAGGUUUGGAGUACAUAAUGAGGAGAAAUAAAAACAAAAAGAUCUCCAGAAAGAAGCCAUGGUAAGAUUCAAGGUUUCACAGUCCAAGCUAAUGCCUGUGGACACUUGACCAAGUGAUCUGAGAAAAUUGGAUUCCUGGCAAAACAAGUGUACCUAGACUCAGGCAAGGGUGGAGCACAGAGGACGACUAGAUUAAAUGCAAAGACUGCCCAGGCAUCCCAGUGCCCCCCAUUGACGUUCCAGAACUUCGUCAAGACAGUGAUGAGCUACAUGUCCACCUGGAGGAGGACCAUGCAGAAUACCUUCCAGCGCCAUGAACACUAGUCAGUCAGUAAUGCUGAACUUCUCGUUGUGCUCCAGCUCAGUUUUCUCAUGUUUGAUGAUGGUUAUUUGGUACUGGACAACCAAUUGGAGUGUUGUUUGCGGGGGAGGACCACCUCUCCAGGUAAAAUCUAAACAUCAGAAAAUCAACAACCCAGUUAAAAUAAUCUAGAGCACUAAGCAGAGUAUUCUCAGAAGAAGCACUACAAACGGCUAAGAAACACAAGACUGCUCAAUAUCCUUGGCCAUCAGGGAAACACAGAAGCUCACUUUUCAGUUUCCAUCUUACUGUAGUCAGAAUGGUUAUCAUCAAGAAUGCCAGUGACAUGGAUGUAGAGGACAGAUUCCUUCAUUGUCUUAAGUCUCCAGAAAUAUUGCAGAAGAGGAGUCAGGGACUAAAGGAUGGGAGACAAAAAGGGCUGCAAAGUUCCAUCCUAGAGACUCAGUACAGCCAUUGCAAUGAUGAACUCACAAAAACUGCAUUUACCUGAACUUAGCCUGCUGAAGACAUUGAAAGUAUUUCUAAGUAGCUUUUCCUGUUGUGAAUGUACCUCUCAGCUAGUCCAGUUUCUGGUUCAGAGCUCUUAGGAACAGAGUUGUCUUAAACAUUUGCUUACAGGCACUUGUGUAGAUAUCAGCUGCUUUUUUGGUUAAAUCUCUGAAAUAAAUGCCUAGGCGUUCAAUGGCAAUGUUAUAUCAGUAUGUAUGUAGUUUUAAAAUGAGAAACUGUCAAAUACUUUUGCAGAAUUACUGGACCAUUUUACACCCCUGCCAACAAUGUAAGAUUGAUCCAGCUCCCCACAUUCUCAUAAACACUUGUUUUUGUUUCUUUAAGAAAACAAAUUAACCAUUCCAUUUAUUGAGAAUUCACUUACCAUUCAGUGCAUUGCUUAGAUAUGUAGUAUUCAGUUUUUAGUACACAUACAAGGUUGUAUAUCAAUUACUACUAAUUCCAGAACAUUUCCAUUACCAUAGAAAAAGAAACCCAAUAAAUGGAAUUUUUAUGAAACACGACCUUUUGUUUGGCUUCUUUCAUUUAAAAUAGAAUUUCAAGGUUUCUCCAUAUUCUACCAGCUUUCAAAUUUUCAGUUGUUGUGCUUUCAGAUUUCAGAAUUUCUUUUCAUUUUCUGUUUAUAAUUUCAAAAUUAUUGUUUAAUAUCUAUUUAAUAAAACAGGUGUUUUGAAAUAUAUUUUAUUAGUUCUUUGAGUAUUUAUAUACUUUGGUCAUUUUCACCCCCUUCCAUAAACUCCUUUUAGAUUAUUUGCCAGCAGCUUCUCUGGUGGGGUGGAUCCACCCUCCCUUUCCAUGCAGGAGCUCUAGUCUAGCUUAGGCUUGCACAGGUCUUUUGCUGUCACAACCACUGUGAGUUCAUAUACAUAACUAAGUGAACAUAAUGUUAACCUGACAUUUAUACUCAUAUUUUAAUAAACCUUUCCACCUUCACUAGAGAAGCUUCUCUUUUUAGUAGUUAGUAUCAGAGAGAGACCCACAACUGACUAUGGUGUGGAGAAAAAGACUGGGAAUCUCUUAUUCUAGUCUUUUCUCAAUCAAAUCCAUUAUGGUAAGGUAAUAUAUUCCAUAUGAUUUCCAUUGUUUUAUAAUUGGUAGAAUUUGUUUUAUGGCCCAAGAAGCAAUCUAGGCUCCUGUCUUUGAUACACAUAUUUCCAUUCAUCUGAAUUCUCUAUGCAUUAAUUUGAGAACUAAUUAUUUGCACAAGAAUUCCCCAUUCAUUAUUUCCACUUUACUUCAGUAGCUACAGUCAGAGUCUAAAGGAACGGUAAGUUUCUUAAAUUUCUUCUGCUUUGUGUGUGUUUGAGCAUGCGUGUGGAACACACACUGCUAAUGUGAAUUUCAGGACAAGAGACAGCAUUUCUUAGCUGUAAUUUAUAUAAUUGCCUGCAGGUGGUAGCAAAGCAACACAAAAAAAUCAACUCCUUUUCCUUCAUCCUUUGUUUCAGUUUGGGGUGUGUGUGUGUGUGUGUGUGUGUGCUUAUUUGUUGUGGUUUUGUUUUUGAUACAGGGUUUCUCUGUGUAGUCCUGGCUGUCCUGGACUAGCAUUGUAGACUAGGCAGGCCUCCAACUCACAGAGAUCCACCUGCCUCUGCCUCAAGCACUGGGAUUAAAGGUGUGUGCCACCUUACCCUGGCCAUCAUUUGUGUUUUAAAGAAACAGAAACGAGAGUUUUCUGCUGCCUUGAAAGCUGGUAAACUCGCUUGGAAAAUAUCACUUUUAAAUAUGUUUGCCAAUUUUGGAAAUGAAAAAGAUUUAUUAUUUGUAAGUGCCAUUUACCAAUGGUAGGCUAAGUUUACAUUUGCAUGUUUUAUUGGCUAUUUUCCCCUCUAAUUUAUCUAUUUGUUUUUAUUGUUCAUUUUCCUGUUCAAGGUUAAGAGGAAAACUCUGCUUUUUCUAUCUUACUGUUAUUAAAGUAAUACAUCUCAUUAUGGAAAAUUAAAAAUACCAGAAUCACUCUAAAAAGAAAAAAAACCCUACAUAGUACCAUUAUUACCAUCUUAAUACAUUUUACUCAUUCCUAUAUUAUUAAUGUGUUGGUGGGAUAUUGUGACCUUAAAUUAUUUAUUUUGUCCAGUUUAUUUCCAAAUUUCUAAAUAAAAUUGACCGUGACCC
ensembl:processed_transcript 5530601H04Rik uncharacterized LOC110287359